rnacentral:lncRNA from 1 species
AUGGUGCCGGGGAUGCAUCCCACCCUGGGACCCGGCACGCCCCCUCAGGGAGGUGGUCCGAGGCCCUUUGGUGGCCCAGCUGUGUCCUGCUCUUGCUUUCUGAACCUGGCGGCUUGGGGAGUGUCCCCAAGAACGGUUCCUGGAGCGGGCUGGGGUUCAUCUGGGCUGUCCCAGGGCUGCUCCCUGAUCUGGGUGCCUCCCUUGUCCAGAGUGCCAGGUCCACGCCCUCGAGCAGCACGUCCAGCUCCCGCCCAGCUUCCCUGGGGUACAGUGGAGCCGCCGGACCCCGGCCCAUCACUCAGAGCGAGCUGGCCACGGCCCUGGCCCUGGCCAGCACUCCGGAGAGCAGCUCUCACACGCCAACUCCUGGCACCCAGGGCCAUUCCUCUGGGACCUCCCCAAUGUCCUCAGGCGUCCAGUCAGGGACGCCCAUCACCAACGAUCUGUUCAGCCAAGCCCUACAGCAUGCGCUGCAGGCCUCCGGGCAGCCCAGCCUUCAGGUCAGUCUUCCCACUCCUGGUGUCCACGCGGCUCUUUGUCACCUUGGACACUGAGCUUUUUGUGCUCUGUGGAGGCCCUUCCCACUUGGCCUGCUUUGCUCCAGGACAGCUGGGCCGUGACAGUGUGACAGGAGAGGAUGCCCGCAGCAAGGGCGGUUGUCCCUGUGGCUUCCACUCCUGCACCCAGUGA